rnacentral:tRNA from 1 species
UGGGUUAUAGCCAAGUGGUAAGGCUUCAGAUUCUGACUCUGACAUCCGAACGUUCGAAUCGUUCUAACCCAGCCA